rnacentral:rRNA from 1 species
AUUGAACGCUGGCGGCAUGCCUUACACAUGCAAGUCGAACGGUAACGGGCCUUCGGGUGCCGACGAGUGGCGAACGGGUGAGUAAUGCAUCGGAACGUACCUUCAGUGGGGGAUAACGUAGCGAAAGUUACGCUAAUACCGCAUAUUCUGUGAGCAGGAAAGCAGGGGAUCGCAAGACCUUGCGCUGAUUGAGCGGCCGAUGUCAGAUUAGCUAGUUGGUGAGGUAAAGGCUCACCAAGGCGACGAUCUGUAGCGGGUCUGAGAGGAUGAUCCGCCACACUGGAACUGAGACACGGUCCAGACUCCUACGGGAGGCAGCAGUGGGGAAUUUUGGACAAUGGGGGCAACCCUGAUCCAGCCAUGCCGCGUGAGUGAAGAAGGCCUUCGGGUUGUAAACUGCUUUUGUACGGAACGAAAAGACUCUUUCUAAUAAAGAGGGUCCAUGACGGUACCGUAAGAAUAAGCACCGGCUAACUACGUG